AAAAGACUUAGUCCUAACCUUACCGUUAAUUCUUGCCAGACCUAUACAUGCAAGUAUCCGCGCCCCAGUGUAAAUGCCCCCAACUCCUUGCUAAGGUAAGAGGAGCAGGCAUCAGGCCCACCCACCGUAGCCCAAAACGCCUUGCUCAGCCACACCCCCACGGGUACUCAGCAGUAAUUAACAUUAAGCAAUGAGUGAAAACUCGACUUAGUCAUGGCAACGCCAGGGUCGGUAAAUCUUGUGCCAGCCACCGCGGUCACACAAGAGACCCAAAUUAAUCGUACACGGCGUAAAGAGUGGCCCAACAUUAUCGUUCCCCCCCUGAGACCAAAGUACGUCUAAGCUGUCAUAAGCCCAAGGCACCCCUAAGCCCAACCAACCGCAUCUCAGUCCCAACGAUCCACCAACCCCACGAAAGCCAGGGGACAAACUGGGAUUAGAUACCCCACUAUGCCUGGCCGUAAAUCCAAAUGCUUUUCUCCACCUAAGUAUUCGCCAGGGAACUACGAGCGCAAACGCUUGAAACCCUAAGGACUUGGCGGUGCCCCAAACCCACCCAGAGGAGCCUGUUCUAUAAUCGAUAACCCACGCUACACCCAACCCCCCCUCGCCCCCAAACAGCCUACAUACCGCCGUCGCCAGCUCACCUCCCCUGAGAGCCCAACAGUGAGCCUAACAGCCCCACCCGCUAAAAAGACAGGUCAAGGUAUAGCCCAUGGGAGGGAAGAAAUGGGCUACAUUUUCUGACUCAGAAAACACGAAAGAGGACCUGAAAACCCAAUCCUCAGAAGGCGGAUUUAGCAGUAAGACAUAACCAUCAUAUAUGUCUUAAACCGGCCCUGGGACACGUACAUACCGCCCGUCACCCUCCUCACAGCAAUUCUCACCCCUCAACAUAGAACCACAACCAGCCCAAGAUGAGGUAAGCCGUAACAAGGUAAGUGUACCGGAAGGUGCACUUAGCAUAC
rnacentral:ncRNA from 1 species